rnacentral:tRNA from 1 species
GGGUCGGUAGCUCAGCGGGAGAGCGAUGGAUUGUUAAUCCAUCGGUCGUGGGUUCGAUCCCCACCCGGCCCUC